rnacentral:rRNA from 1 species
GACAGAGGGGGCAAGCGUUGCUCGGAAUUACUGGGCGUAAAGGGUGCGUAGGCGGGCAGGUAAGUCCGUGGUGAAAUCUCUGAGCUUAACUCAGAAACUGCCAUGGAUACUAUUUGUCUUGAAUAUUGUGGAGGUAAGCGGAAUAUGUCAUGUAGCGGUGAAAUGCUUAGAUAUGACAUAGAACACCAAUUGCGAAGGCAGCUUACUACACAGUUAUUGACGCUGAGGCACGAAAGCGUGGGGAUCAAACAGG